rnacentral:misc_RNA from 1 species
GCCAAGUCUGUCAGCUUAAGAAGGUCCUUGCCUGUUAUGGGUUUUCCGCCUUCGGUGGCAUUGAUCAAGAAAGCUGGGAUCUCAUUCUCUUUCAACUGUGCGUGGAGGGCCUUGGCCAAGUCCAAGGGAUCGAUCGGUGAGGGUCCCUUGCUGUAUGUUGGAACAAACUUUCCAUCCUGAUAGCCGGCCAGAAAAUGAUAGGCGGCUUGGCCUGGGGAGAGCUUUGAUACGGAAGGAAGAACACCGGUACUGUCAGCAGACACGAAGAUAACAGAAGCAGGCUUUUUUGGCAGAUCUAUCUUCGGGGAGCCUUUGGCCUGGAAGUAGGGUGUAACGCCAUCCGAAGAAAGAAUUACACCACUAUCAUCGGACACAAGAGACUUUUGUAUAUCCGGGCAGUUUUUAAUGGUAUCUUCCGACGCAAAUAACAAAAUCGCAGAAUCACCAGAUGCAAGAACCCUUGCAGAAACAGGAACGCCUCCCCUUGCAGAUACUAUGGGAGCAGCCAAAGCAGCGAGAGCAUCUUUUGUAACUUUAGUAUCAGCAAAUGCUUUACCACAUAAGAUAAGGGAUGAACGUUCUAUAUCA